rnacentral:rRNA from 1 species
UACAGAGGGGGCAAGCGUUGUUCGGAAUUACUGGGCGUAAAGGGCGCGUAGGCGGCCCGCUAAGUCGAACGUGAAAUCCCCGAGCUCAACUCGGGAACUGCGUCCGAUACUGGCGGGCUUGGAAUCCGGGAGAGGGAUGCGGAAUUCCAGGUGUAGCGGUGAAAUGCGUAGAUAUCUGGAGGAACACCAGCGGCGAAGGCGGCACUCUGGGCCGGAACUGACGCUGAGGAGCGAAAGCGUGGGUAGCAAACGAGG